UACGAAGGGGGCUAGCGUUGCUCGGAAUUACUGGGCGUAAAGCGCACGUAGGCGGGUUUUUAAGUUAGGGGUGAAAUCCUGGAGCUCAACUCCAGAACUGCCUUUGAUACUGAGGAUCUUGAGUUCGGGAGAGGUGAGUGGAACUGCGAGUGUAGAGGUGAAAUUCGUAGAUAUUCGCAAGAACACCAGUGGCGAAGGCGGCUCACUGGCCCGAUACUGACGCUGAGGCACGAAAGCGUGGGGAGCAAACAGG
rnacentral:rRNA from 1 species